rnacentral:rRNA from 1 species
GAUGAACGCUGGCGGCGUGCCUAAUACAUGCAAGUCGAGCGAACAGACGAGGAGCUUGCUCCUCUGACGUUAGCGGCGGACGGGUGAGUAACACGUGGAUAACCUACCUAUAAGACUGGGAUAACUUCGGGAAACCGGAGCUAAUACCGGAUAAUAUAUUGAACCGCAUGGUUCAAUAGUGAAAGACGGUUUUGCUGUCACUUAUAGAUGGAUCCGCGCCGCAUUAGCUAGUUGGUAAGGUAACGGCUUACCAAGGCAACGAUGCGUAGCCGACCUGAGAGGGUGAUCGGCCACACUGGAACUGAGACACGGUCCAGACUCCUACGGGAGGCAGCAGUAGGGAAUCUUCCGCAAUGGGUGAAAGCUUGACGGAGCAACGCCGCGUGAGUGAUGAAGGUCUUCGGAUCGUAAAACUCUGUUAUUAGGGAAGAACAAAUGUGUAAGUAACUAUGCACGUCUUGACGGUACCUAAUCAGAAAGCCACGGCUAACUACGUG